GCCCAAGCAGGAAAUUUAACUGAAAUGAAAGAUAAAGUCACACCUGGUGCUGUAUGAUUGUAAACCCUGAACAGAGGAAGUAAAGGCCAGCCUAGGCUACAUGCUAAGACCCCGUCUCAAAAGAAAAAAAUAUCUAAUAUUAUCUACAUUUACUUUUACAUAUUUAAAGUUGAUACUUUCCAGUUUCCCUAUGACAAAAUGUAAUUACAAAACACAGUAAAAGAAACCUUAUAGAAAACACUAAAAAUUAUUGGUCCAUAGAAAAAAUUAUAUUUAUUAAAAAUGUUAAUAUCAGCCAUGUUUCUCUAAGACUUGGUUUCAUUUAUCAGGGAUAGAUAUUCACCACUCUAAUAAUAAACACUGUUUCAACUACUUUUGAGGAAAUAGAAAAUAUGUUGUAAAUAUGUAUAGAAAAAGGAAGAAAAAUGAGCUGCUAUAGGUUUAAAUAUUAUAUACAAUCUUAAGAUGUGCAUUCUAUAAAGAAAUAUUGUCCUGUGAAUUCAUACUGAUAUUUCAAAUUCAAUCAGGGCUACCAAGUUUUCUGUCUGUCAUUACUACCUCUUACCUGUUGGAACUUCUAACAUGUUGACUUGCAUUCUAGAUAUACGAGGUAUGACAGACCAUCACGUAACAACUCAUUAGCUUUAUGUUAGACUCAUUAGCUUUAUGUCAACAUACCCUAACAUUGCUAUCCUCAACUGAAAUGGCUGCUUUGCACCCUACAGUCAUUGUUUGCAGGUCCACUGUCUGUAUUGUUAUAGCAUACAGCUUUACUCAUACAUUUGAAUGUAUACAUGCUCACUAAAGCCCCUGGGCGCCUCCCUGGUGAUUUAAUUAGUAGAGGAUCUAUCUCUUGGCUUUUGUGUGGAUGCCUUUGCUGGGCUAGGUUUGUGGCUUUGGCUGAUGGGUUCUUGCCUUCUGAUUUGGAGCUGAUGAUGAUAGCUUGUUCACUGUGUUUUACUGCAAAUACUGUCCACAUUUUGUUGUCUAGUUGUUCAGCUAUUUGAGGAGAUUGAGAAACAUCAAGACAUGAUAAGAACAUUGCAGUGGGCAUCGCAAUCAUCCUCUCCUAGAUAGGUCUUAUUGUAUGCAUCAUUUUAUUUAAUCUUCACAAGCACGAUAACCAGAAUUAGUGUGUAGAGAGGCCCUGCAGAUGAGAAAUAACAAUCUAAGAUUAAAAGGCCACUUGGCUGUAGGGCUGCCUGACUCUGUAGUCUGUACUCUUAAAUACAUGCUCCUUUGCUAUAAUUUCAUAUUUGGUGUCAAUAUUUCUUUAUCCUUUGAGAGACCACAGCUUUACAAGUUACAAAUCAUUUUGGCUUAGUGAGGGCAUGUGUUAGCACACUGUCCAAGUUGAAGUAACCUUCCUUCCUAACAGUAGCCCUGCAUCUGUAAUCAGACAUAUCUAAUGCUUUCUUUCAGAACUUUGAAAAUCACCAUUGAAAUUUCCAUUGGAGAUUUAGAACAAACCAAACCAAACCAAACCAAACCAAAACAAAAC
rnacentral:lncRNA from 1 species